ACCUGCUAUAGUUUAUAAAAACAUCGAAUUGCAAAUUCGAAGAUGAAAUUAAUAUUCUAGCAAGUU
rnacentral:tRNA from 1 species